rnacentral:rRNA from 1 species
AAGUGGAGCAAUCCAUGAGUAAAGUGGCGACCGGGUGAGUAACACGUGACUACCUACCCUUGAGUGGGGGAUAACCUCGGGAAACCGAGGCUAAUACCGCAUAAUAUCGAGAGAUCAAAGGAGCAAUCCGCUUUUGGAGGGGGUCGCGGCUGAUUAGCUAGUUGGUAGGGUAAUGGCCUACCAAGGCGAAGAUCGGUAUCCGGCCUGAGAGGGCGCACGGACACACUGGAACUGAAACACGGUCCAGACUCCUACGGGAGGCAGCAGUGGGGAAGUUUGCGCAAUGGGGGAAACCCUGACGCAGCAACGCCGCGUGGAGGAUGAAGCCCCUUGGG